GAUGUUUGUUGUUAGUUUUUGAGUCAGAUACUAAGUUUUCGAUAAAAUCUCUUGAGAUGAAACUCAUAUCUUAUAUUUAAUUUCAUUUUCAUGAGAUUAAUUGAAUAAAUCUCUUAUAAAAUGCAAAACUAAUAAUUUGAUUUUUUCAUUGGUAGAUGUUGUUUUGAUCUUCACCUUCUCUAUCUGCGUCGGUUCUAUUCUCUCUACACUCUCAUAGAUAGAUAGAUAGAUCACCGUCGUCGUUCGAAUCUUCCAGAACAAAACUCCAUGAAACACUCUUCAUGGAGCAACCUUAAAGAUUAACAUGCCUCCUCAACUCCGAACCAGAAAAACUAAAACCAAACAAGACCCGAAUCCGAAUCAAAACCCGAACCCGAUCGCUAAACCCGAACCCGCUACACGAGGUAGAAGAGGUAGACCUGCUAGAAAUCGUAACAACACCAUCGCCGCCGCAGCCGCACGUGAUCAAGUACAAGAACAACAACAACAACAAAACGAACAACCUCACGUGCCGGAACAACCUCAAAUUAGGGUUUCUAAUAAGCUAGAGAUUAUGGAUGAUGACUGUGAUAGCGGUGGUGGGAGAACCGCCGCUGAUAAGGGUCCGGUGGCUGAAGAUGAAGGGAGUACACCGCCUAUUCCUGAAAAAGUUCAGGUGGGUGGUUCACCGAUGUACAGAGUAGAUAGGAAGCUAGGGAAAGGAGGAUUUGGACAAGUUUAUGUUGGUCGUCGUAUUGGUGCCGGAGCCGGUGCUGUUGAGGUGGCUUUGAAAUUUGAGCAUAAAACCAGCAAAGGGUGUAAUUAUGGACCUCCUUACGAGUGGCAGGUUUACAAUGUAUUAGGAGGUAGCCAUGGUGUCCCACGAGUUCAUUACAAGGGACGGCAAGGUGAUUGGUAUGUCAUGGUCAUGGAUAUUCUUGGCCCUAGUUUAUGGGAUGUUUGGAAUAACAAGACACACACGAUGUCUGCUGAAAUGGUGUCGUGCAUAGCAAUCGAGGCUGUUUCCAUAUUAGAGAAGAUGCAUUCUAGAGGAUACGUGCAUGGUGAUGUAAAACCUGAGAACUUUUUGCUCGGCCCUCCGGGAACUCAUGAAGAGAAAAAGCUUUUUCUGGUUGAUCUUGGUUUAGCAACUCGUUGGCGUGAUAAUUCGUCUGGUCUUCAUGUUGAUUACGAUCAGCGUCCAGAUGUAUUUAGGGGAACAGUUCGUUAUGCUAGUGUACAUGCUCAUCUUGGUAGGACAGGUAGCAGAAGAGAUGAUUUGGAAUCUCUUGCAUACACGCUAAUCUUCCUUCUUCGUGGACGGCUACCCUGGCAAGGAUACCAGGGUGAAAAUAAAGGAUUUCUUGUUUGCAAGAAGAAAAUGGCCACCUCGCCAGAAAAUAUGUGUAUCCUCUGUCCCGCACCUUUUCGGCAGUUCAUUGAGUUCGUGGUGAAUUUGAAGUUUGACGAAGAACCAAAUUAUGCCAAAUAUAUAUCACUUUUUGAUGGAAUUGUUGGUCCAAAUCCAGACAUUAGACCCAUAAACACUGACGGUGCUCAGAAGCUUAUUUAUCAGGUUGGACAGAAGAGAGGACGGUUGACCAUGGAAGGAGAUGAUGAUGAGCAGCCAAAGAAGAAAGUCAGAAUGGGAAUGCCAGCAACACAAUGGAUUAGUGUGUACAAUGCACGCCGACCUAUGAAGCAAAGGUACCAUUACAAUGUUGCUGAUGUGCGGUUGUCCCAACACAUCGAAAAGGGAUAUGAAGAUGGGUUAUUUAUCAGUAGUGUAGGUUGUUGUUCUAACCUUUGGGCACUGAUUAUGGAUGCCGGCACUGGUUUCACUGCACAAGUUUAUGAACUCUCAUCCUUCUUCCUUCACAAGGAAUGGAUUAUGGAACAGUGGGAAAAAAAUUAUUAUAUUAGUGCCAUAGCAGGAUCUAAUAGCGGGAGCUCGUUGGUUGUAAUGUCGAAAGGGACCCAAUACUUGCAGCAAUCCUAUAAGGUCAGUGAAUCAUUUCCAUUCAAGUGGAUUAAUAAAAAAUGGAAAGAAGGAUUUUUCGUCACUGCUAUGGCCACCGCUGGAAGUAGAUGGGCAAUUGUUAUGUCCCGUGGUGCUGGAUUUUCAGAUCAGGUUGUGGAGCUUGAUUUCCUGUAUCCUAGUGAAGGUAUUCAUCGAAGGUGGGACAAUGGUUACCGCAUCACUUCAACUGCUGCUACAUAUGACCAGGCUGCUCUUGUUCUUAGUAUUCCAAGAAGAAAACCGACUGAUGAAACUCAAGAAACACUUCGCACAUCUGACUUUCCUAGUACUCAUGUCAAGGAAAAAUGGGCAAAGAAUCUCUACAUUGCAUCUAUUUGUUAUGGAAGAACUGUUUCAUGAGCCGUGAAGCUUUCUGAGAUUCAGCUGACAUAAUUUUGACUUUUCAUGUCACACUGCCUUCUCUUAAAUCUGGCUAGUUUUGGAACUGGAGAUCCUCUCUGACAAGUUUGCUGAACAAAUCCCUUCUGCAUUGAUGGAAAAAAGGCCUUCCACUUGGCAAUCGUAAAUGCUGGCUAUCUAUUUGCUGCUUAUUUCUCUUGUUAGUACAUCACUCGGUUGUUCAAUAAACUCAUUGUAUAUUUCCAAUGCAAUCAAGCAUGGGGCAAGCAACUUGUGAUUCUGACGAGCAGCUGGCUGUCUUGGAAGCUCAACUGUUGCGAUAUUGUUAACACAUUUGUUGUGCCUAAUAACAUGAGUUUAUUGAACAUCUGAAGCAGAUUAGAUUUGUACAUAUUGGUUCAUGCCAUGAUUAUGAUUCUGGAGCAGCCCUAUUUUAGUGGGGAAGCUCUUCAAGGUAAUGGAGCUUUUUGAACUAGCUAGUGUAUGCGACUUUUUCCCUUUUCAGACACUACCUUUCGUGGGAAAAUAUGAAGUUGUAAAUGAGACUUCAAGCCAACUUCAAAUUGUGAUAUUUUAGAAUGUCAAUUGAUUACCAUAUUUUGAUUAUCAAAUCAAAUAUCAACCAGUUUUGAUUGAGAUGACAUCGUA